GAGGUUAUAAUUUAAUUGGUAAAAUAGUAGGUUGUCGUCCUAUUAAUACAGGUUCAAAUCCUGUUAAUCUUG
rnacentral:tRNA from 1 species